CGGGGUGUAGCUUAGCUUGGUAGAGCGCCUGGUUUGGGACCAGGAGGUCGCAGGUUCAAAUCCUGUCACCCCGACCA
rnacentral:tRNA from 1 species